rnacentral:ncRNA from 1 species
CGACGCACGGACGCAUCGAUCCUCGGGCGCCAGACCAACGGUUGCCCGCCGCGCCAGCAGGGGCACGCCCCAGCGGCGCGACGGCCCGAGGGGAGCGAGUGGCGAGACCGGCCGUGGCCUUG